CGCUCGCAUGGCUCAGUGGUAAAGCGCAUGACUCGUAAUCAUGAGAUCCCCGGUUCAAUCCCGGGUGUGAGCAUUCG
rnacentral:tRNA from 1 species